AAACCCAGUGGUGCUAUACCCAGUGGUGCUAAACCCAGUGGUGCUAUACCCAGUGGUGCUAUACCCAGUGGUGCUAUACCCAGUGGUGCUAAACCCAGUGGUGCUAUACCCAGUGGUGCUAUACCCAGUGGUGCUAAACCCAGUGGUGCUAUACCCAGUGGUGCUAUACCCAGUGGUGCUAUACCCAGUGGUGCUAAACCCAGUGGUGCUAUACCCAGUGGUGCUAUACCCAGUGGUGCUAAACCCAGUGGUGCUAUACCCAGUGGUGCUAAACCCAGUGGUGCUAUACCCAGUGGUGCUAAACCCAGUGGUGCUAUACCCAGUGGUGCUAAACCCAGUGGUGCUAAACCCAGUGGUAAACCUCUGAUACCAUCACUAAAUGUCAGAGUCUCUAUCUCUAUUUCUCUAUUGCUGUAUCUUUCAUUACUUGUGACAGAACUCCAUGGUCAUUGAUAAUAUCUACAGAGAUAACCAUUGUUGAGUAACCAGUGUUGAGUAACCAGUGUUGAGUAACAGUUGUUGUGGUCUUCAGGAUAUGGUCCAGGAGCUGAAGCUCCCAAAGGUCAGGGAGCCAAAGGCAAUGGAUAUGGUCCAGGAGCUGGAAUUCGCAGUGAUCAGGGAGCCAAAGGCAAUGGAUAUGGUCCAGGAGCUGGAGUUCCCAGUGGUCAGGGAGCCAAAGGCAAUGGAUAUGGUCCAGGAGCUGGCAUUCCCAAUGGUCAGGGUGCUAAACCCAAUGGUAAACCAUGGCUACCUUGUCUGUGUCUACGGCCCUAUUCAAUGUGUGUCUUUCUAUCUCAAAAUUGAGGUUGAGCUGAAUGGUGCAUGCUGUGUGGUAAUGCCAAUGUUUGUAGCAUAUUAUGCAUGCAUGGUCUGGUCAUUUUUAGAACAGUUUUGAAUAAGAGCUGUUGCUUUUAGGAUAUGGUCCAGGAGUUCCAAAUGAUCAGGGAGCCAAAGCCAAUGGUAAACCUCUGAUAACAUGUCUGUGUCACACUCUGUCUCUCUGUAUCAAAGUGGAGCUUCUUUGACUGUAUGUUGCAUGAUAUGUGCUACAAAAGUUGGUGCGAUGUGACUCCUGAACGUUGAGAAGGAUUAAUAUAUUUGUGCAUGGCCAGAGGGGAAAGGUCCCAGGGAAGCAUGUUUUGUGCUCAUGCAAGUGAUUAUUUACAAUAAGUCAGUGUUGACAGUGUUGCGUAACAGCUGUUGUGGUCUCCAGGAUAUGGCCCAGGAGUUGAAGCACCCAACGGUGGUAAAAUAAAUGGUAAACCUCUUUCUGAGUCUUCAUCAGUCUCUAUUUCUCUGUCACUUUAGAGGUAAACUGGCUCCUUUCUCUGAGUCCACCAAUCACUGGGUGACGCUCUUUUUCCUGGUCCUUCGAGCCAGACAUUUAAGUACUCUGAACCAUUCCAUCAGGCCAAAUAAACAUGUUAUCACAGUGAAAUGCUAUAGCAUCUCUUAUUAUAAAUAAAGUACAGAAUCUCUGAUGAUAAGAUCUACAGAGAAAACUUGUGUUGAGUAACAAGUGUUGAGUAACAGUUGUUGUGGUCUUCAGGAUAUGGUCCAGGAGCAGGAGUUCCCAAUGGUCAGGGUACUAAACCCAAUGGUAAACCUGUGCUACCCUGUCUGUGUCUACGUCUGUCUUCAAUGUUUGUUGUCCAUGUCAAAGUUGAGGUCGAGCAGGAUGCUGCAUGCUGUGCGAUAAUGUUACAGUUUGUAACAUAUUUUUGCAUGCCUGUUGCCAGUUCAUUGAGCAUAUUGUAGAAUUUGACCGAUCCAUGGAUGCUGGUUUGGUCUGUUGUAGAACAGUGUUGAGUAAGAGUUGUUGUGGUUCCAGGAUAUGGUCCAGGAGCUGGAGCACCUAACGGGGCUAAAAGCAAUACUAAACCUUUGAUACCUUGCCUGUCUGUGUUGCAUGCUGUAUGGUAAUCUAUCUUUUGAGGAGUAUUGAUGAUAAGCUCCUGAACACAUCCAGCUGGUGUUUGCUAGAUAUUUGUGCACGGCUAUAAGCUAUAUGAUGAAAUACUAGGAUCAAGGGCAGAAUGUGUUAUGCAAGUGGUUUUGAUCAAUUGUCUAUAAGCAGUGUUGAGUAACAGUUGUUGUUGGUUCCAGGAUAUGGUCCAGGAGCUGGAGUUCCCAAUGGUGGUAAAAUCAAUGGUAAACCUCUUUCAGAGUGUUACAGUCUCUCAAUCUCUAUCCAUCUGACACUCUCCUAUGAUAAGCUACAGAACCCCUGAUGAUCAGAUCUACACAGCUGACUUGUGUUGAGUAACAAGUGUUAAGUAACAGUUGUUGUGGUCUUCAGGAUAUGGUCCAGGAGCUGGAGUUCCCAGUGAUCAGGGAGCCAAAGGCAAUGGUAAACCUCUGAUACCCUGUCUGUUUGUCUCUGUCAGUCUUUGUGUGUCUUGUCUGUCUGUGUCAAAGACAACAUGUGUUGUGUUUAUGCAAGUGGUUUUGAUUUUCUAUAAGCGGUGUUGAAUAACACUUGUUGUGGUCUCUAGGAUAUGGUCCAGGAGCUGGAGCUCCCAAUGGUGCUAAAAGCAAUGGUAAACCUCUUCUUGAGAGUUAUAGUCUCUCAGUCUCUAUUUCUCAGUAAUCUCUC
rnacentral:lncRNA from 1 species